rnacentral:rRNA from 1 species
CGCUCUCUGGAUAGGUUUAUAAACAAAAAUGUAUAGGGAGUCGGGCCUGCCCAGUGACAUAAUAUGUUAAACGGCCGCGGUACCCUGACCGUGCAAAGGUAGCAUAAUCAUUUGCCUUUUGAUUGAGGGCUAGUAUGAAUGGCUUGACGAGAGCUGGACUGUCUCUUUUUAAAUAUAUAAAAAUUAGCUUUUAAGUGAAGAGACUUAAAUUUAACUGAGUGACGAAAAGACCCUAUUGAGCUUUAGUAAACUAGUGAAAGUUUAAGUAUUAUAUGCAUUUAAAUGCAUUUAUUGUUUGCUAGAAAUCUUUAGUUGGGGCGACUUAGGAGUAGAUAGAGCCUCCUUUAUAGUUGGUUUAAAAGUUGAGGUAGUCAUACUAAGUUGUUAGAUCCAGCAUAUGCUGAUCAAAGGAAGAAGUUACCAUAGGGAUAACAGCGUUAUUUUUCUGGAGAGUUCUUAUUGAAGGAAAAGUUUACGACCUCGAUGUUGGACUAAGAUAUCCUGGGGGUGCAGAAGCUUCUAAUGGUUAGUCUGUUCGACUAUUAAAAUCUU